UAGGGAAUCUUCGGCAAUGGGGGGAACCCUGACCGAGCAACGCCGCGUGAGUGAAGAAGGAUUUCGGUUCGUAAAACUCUGUUGUUAGAGAAGAACAGCGCAUAGAGUAACUGUUAUGCGUGUGACGGUAUCUAACCAGAAAGCCACGGCUAACUACGUGCCAGCAGCCGCGGUAAUACGUAGGUGGCAAGCGUUGUCCGGAUUUAUUGGGCAUAAAGCGAGCGCAGGCGGUCAAUUAAGUCUGAUGUGAAAGCCCCCGGCUCAACCGGGGAGGGUCAUUGGAAACUGGUUGACUUGAGUGCAGAAGAGGAGAGUGGAAUUCCAUGUGUAGCGGUGAAAUGCGUAGAUAUAUGGAGGAACACCAGUGGCGAAGGCGACUCUCUGGUCUGUAACUGACGCUGAGGUUCGAAAGCGUGGGUAGCAAACAGG
rnacentral:rRNA from 1 species